rnacentral:rRNA from 1 species
UACGAAGGGGGCUAGCGUUGUUCGGAAUUACUGGGCGUAAAGGGCGCGUAGGCGGUACUUCAAGUCAGGCGUGAAAGCCCCGGGCUCAACCUGGGAACUGCUUCCGAGACUGAGCGACUAGAGAUCGGUAGAGGGCGGUGGAAUUUCCGGUGUAGCGGUGAAAUGCGUAGAUAUCGGAAGGAACACCAAUGGCGAAGGCAGCCGCCUGGGCCUGAUCUGACACUGAGACACGAAAGCGUGGGGAUCAAACAGG